rnacentral:lncRNA from 1 species
UGCUGGUUAGAGCAGUUAGAAAUUCCUUUCAUUCAUCUUCUUGUUGGAUCCUCUCAGCGGUAGACGUUGCGAGAACAGUUAAUCGAUCAUAUUAUUCCCACGGCCAGUUAACCGGUGUGCUGAUUACUGUGAGAUCUCCGUUCCAUUGAUAGUUUGUCUGAAACCUAAUAACUGCUGCCUGGUUUUGUCUUGGAGGUGUUCAAGUUGAAACAGGGAAACUUUUACUGUC